UAAUGGUUAAAAUUUUUAAAAAGCACCAAAUCACGGGAGGAAAAAGAAAGAGGACCACCGCCGUUAAUACUCGAUGAAAUGUAAUUCGAAGGAAAAUAAUUAAGUAUACCAUAGGAAAUCACUUCUAACACAAAUGAGAUAAACUCUGGCAAACGCAAGUCUAUCCCAACAGCGGGAAUGAAUGCCUACUUUGUGUUCAAAUCAGUACGGAAAGAAUCUCCCUCUUGCAUCAGCAACUGGAGAAAUUGUCCAAUUCUCGGAGUCCAGCAGAUGUUGAGCAUUUUUCUUCAGGCAUUCUGGGGCCCGUCUGUCUCCACCUCCUCCACACACACACAUGCUCAGCUGUGCCUGCAAGCGCAGUGUCCUCGGCGCUGUGGUCUUCUCCUGGGUGGAAAGAGGGGGUUCCAGCUUCUGAAAAGAGCCCGGCUCGGAGAGGGCCUCCCAGGACUCUUCCAGGAAGGAAGACCAGGGAGGGGAGAGGGAAGAGCCCUCUGGUCACCCGGGAGCUGGCACCCACCAGGUGGAAGUGAUGCUGGGUCCUGACAGAAGGCAGACGUCUCCCGAGUCUGUAAGUCGCUGUGUCUGGGGAAGCACAGUACAAGUGGGCCACCAAUUACUUGUUUCCGUAUUAGUCUACUAAUUUGGCUCAACAGUUCGUGGAAAUUCCCCAGGAUCCUGGAUCUCAGUAGCAUUUGAAACAACAUGGCAUUUUGGGGGAACAGCCCGAGUCCAAAUGGAGUACUUUAUCAAGUGUCGUAACAAGCACAAGCUUUGCCAAACCAACAAAAGACAAAUACAUACACAAAAAGUAAAGGUUGGGACAAUUUCUUCUGAUGAGACAAAUCCAGGGAUUCGCAUUGCUAAUGUGGAAAUGCUUUCGCUUCCGGUCAUGAUUAGAUAUAAUAUCCUCUGUUUUCCUUUAGAUCAGAGAGAAGGAAAGAAAAGAUAAAAGGAACAGGGAAAUUUUAAUUAUUUACUACAGUCCAGGAGAAAGAAAUUGCUUAUGGCUGAGUUGGAGAGAAACUUCUGAAAACUGUGGGUUUAUAUCACCAGAAAGGGCUUUGAUCCUAAGCUGACCUAAAGAUACACAGCAGUCCAGUGGAGCACACGGCUUCAGGGCACGAUUCAGCAUGAGCUGGAAAGAGGCAUUCUAGCAAAGACGAAGAUACACGAUUAAAAAGUAAUUUCAAAUAGUUAAGACUAAGGAGAGUGUUUGGACUGUAAGUUGGGAAAAUUGAGUUUUAGUCCCAAAAUCUGAUUUUAAUUAGUUCUGUAACUUAGCAAAUUGACUUAUCCUUUCAAAGGGUUGGCUUCUUCGUCUAAAACACAGAGGCCAAUGCAUCUAAUCCCUAAGAUUUUACAGCUCUAAAGUUUCCACGUGAAAGAUUUCAGCGAAGACAGUGUUUCUCGAACUGGCGAUUGAAGUCAGAGGAGGUCCUUGGGUUGGAGGCUCAGCAGUAGAGAAAUGCGGGACCAAGCGAGUGGGCGGCCUUCAUUUCCAAAAGCUCCACGGACGUCCUUCAAACAUCUAAGAUCUUCUGAA
rnacentral:lncRNA from 1 species